UACGUAGGGGGCAAGCGUUGUCCGGAUUUAUUGGGCGUAAAGAGCGUGUAGGCGGCCAGGUAGGUCUGUUGUGAAAACUCGAGGCUCAACCUCGAGACGCCGAUGGAAACCAUCUGGCUAGAGUCCGGAAGAGGAGAGUGGAAUUCCCGGUGUAGCGGUGAAAUGCGCAGAUAUCAAGAGGAACACCUGAGGUGAAGACGGGUUGCUGGGCUGACACGUGACGCUGAAGCGACGAAGCCCAGGGGAGCAAACGGG
rnacentral:rRNA from 1 species